GUCCAAUAAAGAGUGCAGUUAGAAAUGUGGGAGCUGGUUUCUCGUCCAAGUUUGCAAGUUGGGGUAAGGGAGGGGCGGGUGGAACUGGCUGCAUCCGCUGGCUGGCUUCAGACGGUGCUAACUUGGAAGCUUGAGCAGAGGGGAUGGUAGGGCCGAUGAACUGGGGGAUUGAUAAUGAAACAGGAAGGCUUUCCUCACCAAAUGCCCAGCUGGUGCCUGGAAGCUGGUCGGGAUCCAGAGCCUAGUUCACAGAUUAGAGGACCCUGCAGUGAGUUGGCAGUCUCCGCGGGCGGGGCCGUUGAACAGGGGUUUGAAAAGCGCUCCAGUGGCCCAACCAUGCCCCUGCCCGCCAGCCUCAGGGUUCAGCUCCACGUUUGAGGUGUGCGUCUGAGCAAAUGGCAACAGCAUUUCGUUAGGACUGAGGUUAGCCCUAUUCUGGAUGGUCUGAAGGAAGAUGUUAAUUACGAAAGAACAUCCGGUUCUUGGCAUUCUGUGUAGAAGAAAUCAAUGAUGUUGAAGACCCUAAAGAGAAUCACUGAUUUUGCGGAGGCUUAAUAAAAAGUCAACAAUCAAACA
rnacentral:lncRNA from 1 species